rnacentral:misc_RNA from 1 species
UCACCCUUCAAGCCCUGCGCUUGGUGUUGGACGGCUUGGUCGCAUAUCUCGUUCGACCCCUCCUAAAGACAAUGACGGCGGCCUGUGGUUCCCCCGGUACACUGAGCUUUUUAACUGAGCACGUAUCGGACAAGGGCGCCCGGGUCACGGUCCUCUCCCCGUAACGGGAAACACUUUUAACUAAGG